GACGAACGCUGGCGGCGUGCUUAACACAUGCCAGUCGAACGAAGAGCGAUGGAAGCUUGCUUCUAUCAAUCUUAGUGGCGAACGGGUGAGUAACGCGUAAUCAACCUGCCCUUCAGAGGGGGACAACAGUUGGAAACGACUGCUAAUACCGCAUACGAUCUAAUCUCGGCAUCGAGGAUAGAUGAAAGGUGGCCUCUAUGUAUAAGCUAUCACUGAAGGAGGGGAUUGCGUCUGAUUAGCUAGUUGGAGGGGUAACGGCCCACCAAGGCGAUGAUCAGUAGCCGGUCUGAGAGGAUGAACGGCCACAUUGGGACUGAGACACGGCCCAGACUCCUACGGGAGGCAGCAGUGGGGAAUCUUCCGCAAUGGACGAAAGUCUGACGGAGCAACGCCGCGUGAGUGAUGACGGCCUUCGGGUUGUAAAGCUCUGUUAAUCGGGACGAAAGGCCUUCUUGCGAAUAGUGAGAAGGAUUGACGGUACCGGAAGAGAAAGCCACGGCUAACUACGUG
rnacentral:rRNA from 1 species